AGUAAUAUAUGCCGUGCGUCCAAGCUUUCUUAUUCGUAUUGCUAAUAACCGCUCUUAUUUAUUUGGUUACAGUGUUUACUGAUUUUCAGUUUUGUACCUAUUUAAAUGUUGUGUAAAUUAUUUUAUAUUAGGCAUAUAACAUGGUGUAUUUUUAUUGUUUUUAAUAAAAGUUCGUUACAUUAUGUUAAUGCCGCAAAUUUAAAAGUGUAAGUGAAAUGUGUAGAGCCCUGCACGGGCUUCAGAUAUAGGCCCUAGCCCGGCCCUGGUCCGGCCCUGGUCCAAUAGCUUAUCAGAAUUCUCUUCCCGAGUCUGUCCCGAGCCCGUCUUUUUUUCCCCCCUUCUCCCAAAACAGCUUAUACUACUUUUUCAGGUAUUAAAAGAGUUCGGUUUUGUAUGUAAUGGCAAAUCGUUUGUGCGGAGGAAGCUGAAGCGCGCUUUGCAGAACAUGCGGCACCAGCGCGAUCACUUGCAUUUUUUUUUUCAGUCAUUUUUGCUUAUAAAUGUAAGAGUAAUACAUCAUUCGGAACUGUAAAGAGUACUUUUAUUUGUGUGCACUCACUAUAUCACCAAAACGUUGCAAACGGUGCUUUUAUUUUUAUAUAUAAUAUUAUUAAAAAAAUGUGAUGCGCUUUCUGUCGACUCAACAGGAGCGCUUCACAAAAAUGAACCGAAACUCAGCGAAUACAUACCUGACAGACAUGAUAAAUAUAUCUAUUGAAAUCUUUAAAUUAUUACGAAACAACGAAAUAAAACAAAUCGAAAUAAAUAAUGAAAUAAAACAAAUCGAAAACAAGAACUCUUUCAUUAUGUAAUCUGUAAAGAUGCAUUUCUCUCUAAAGGCGCGUCCAAAGAGGAGAUGGCGAGUCAGGAUCGGCAACUGCGACACAGAAAACACUAGUUUAUUAUUAAAUAGUUAAAAAAUCUCCUUGCUAUUUACCCCUGACACAUUCGUGAUAAUAACUUUUGCCGGUGCUUUGCUGCAAGGUUCAGCUUAUUGCGUGCACUUGAACGCAGAACUGGGGUGUGUUUCCCAAAACCAACUAUGGUCGCAAGUUCCGUCGUUACUAAUAGAGUGCAAUGGACCUAACCACCAUAGUUAGCUAACGAUGCUUUUGGGAAACGCACCCCUGGUCUGCUGCUGACAGAGACACAAAACUCGUGUCUUGUGUUGUUUCCACCAAUGCUAUAUCAUCACUAUAGUUGGUGGAUGUACAAAAUAUAAAAAAUAAGGAGAAGCGUAAAACAGACCUGGCCCUAGGCGCAUAAAGUCAGGGCAGUCUAAAAAUGUGCACGACGCUUUUACAAGCUACUUAAAACCGAAGGAAAGUGACGAAAAGAGGGAAAACUUAAACAAACAACUGCUUGAGGUGGAAUUGCUGCUAAUUUGAAAGUGAAAGUAAAAUAUGCACCGCGCUUUUACCGAAGGAAAGGGAGGAAAAGAGGGAAAACUGAAACGAACUAAAAACAAACAAUUGCUAGAAGCUGAAUUACUGCUAAUUUGAAAGUCAAACUUAAAUUAUACUUGGAUAACAUAUUGCUGUAUUGUUUUCUCUUCAUAUUUUUUUUUUUCCCUUAAAUUUUCUUUAAUUGGUCUUAAAAAGGUCUUAAAGUCUUAAAUUUACUCUCAUAAAACCUGCAGAAACCCUGAAGCCAUUCAUUGACAUACAGACCUGCCUAAGUGUCUUCAAGACUAAGUGUCUUAUAUGUAACUGGUGGGGACCAGCAUGGUGGAUUUGUGACUUGGGGACGAGACAACAACAUUCCAGACCUUUGCCUUUGUUACGGGCUGUGCCACUGAAGCAGACUCGUUGCCUGGGAAUUUCUCCAGCUUGCAGUAUAUUAUAUUGAUGGAGAUAAGUCUUCAUGUGUGAAUUUUUUUUUUUUUUUAAGGCCAACAGUUUUUUUUUCUGGCCACUUGUAACAUGUUUUAAAUUGUCAUAUGUAUUGUCUGGUGGACACUUUGUUUGGCUUAGUUUUAAUAGCACAAUGUUUGGAACGAUUCUCAUGUGGUAGUAAUUUUUGAGUGUUCUGCUGCUGCAAUGUUGACAAAGAAUCAGAAUCUACAGUGCCUAGUUUACACAGUUUUGUGUUUUAAAUGAACUGAUCUACUAAAGUUGUUGUUUUAUGUGUCUGUAAUGGUUGGAUAAAAUGUGUGACAGCUGCACCCAUUUGAAAAUUGUUUUAAAAAGAAAUAAAACUUAUUAAAUUGUU